UCUGUUUUUUAAACUUUCCCCCCCUUAGCUUACCCAGAUUAUUAAUUUUUCCCAGUCAACACAUAUGGAACAUUAGCUCCAUACCAGGACCCAUCUGCUGUACUAUAGUGGUAUGAUCUCAUUUGAUUCUCUCAAGUCCUAGAAGAAAGAUAGUUCCAUCUCUUCCAUUUUACAGACCUCUGGCUUCCCCUGUGAGCUCCCCCACCAGUGAGUGUCCAACUUCAAGAAGUGCCUGGUCUUUCUGGUCACCCUGUGCGGGCCUGGCACAAGGUUUCCACAGGAGAGCAGCUGGCCUUUUGAAUUGAGCAGAAUUUGCAAGUGAUUAUAAAGUCAAAGAUCAAUGCUUAUCAAAAAUCAAAUCAGCUUGGGGAUCUAUUUAUUUUCCUGAGCUGUGGAGGCAGCUCUUCUGAUACUGUGCACUCACCCUGUGUCUGCAUUUUGGAGAUAUUCUGCAUCUGAAAAGUACCCUCCAAUCAAUUCUCCUUGCCUCCCAACACCCAGGCAAGGAAAGGGGACAAAGAUAUAGAUGCAAUGAAAGACCGAGACGCCUGCAUCCUGAUGUUUCUAGCAGCAAUGUCCACAAUAGCCAAACUGUGGAAGGAGCCUUGAUGUCCAUUGAAAGACGAAUGGAUAAAGAGGAUGUGGUCUAUGUAUACAAUGGAAUAUUCCUCAGCCAUUAGAAACGACAAAUACCCACCGUUUGCUUCGACGUGGAGGGGACCUGGAGGGUAUUAUGCUGAGUGAAGGACAAACAUUUAUGGUCUCAUUCAUUCGGGGAAUAUAGAAAGUAGUGAAAGGGAAUAAAUGGGAAAGGAGGGAAAAUGAGUGGGAAAUA
rnacentral:lncRNA from 12 species